rnacentral:rRNA from 1 species
UCAGUUCGGAUUGUAGUCUGCAACUCGACUACAUGAAGCUGGAAUCGCUAGUAAUCGCGAAUCAGAAUGUCGCGGUGAAUACGUUCCCGGGUCUUGUACACACCGCCCGUCACACCAUGGGAGUUGGAAAUGCCCGAAGUCAGUGACCCAACCGAAAGGAGGGAGCUGCCGAAGGCAGGUUCGAUAACUGGGGUGAAGUCGUAACAAGGUACC